AUAAAAUAACAAGUAUUAUAUAUAUAAAUAAAUAGUAAAUAAACAAACUUCAACAAAAUUUCAUAAAAAUAAAUAAUUGUAUAAAAACUUAGGAUUUCAUUAACAACCACAAAUCAUUCUUUCACAACCAAAACUUAUAAUACAAAAGAGUACACUUCUGUAUGUACUUUGCUCAGAUUACUGAUUCAGUGUGUGGAGUGUCCACUGAUUCAAAUGAAAAGCAAAAUGAUUAGAAUUUAUUUUCACAAUUUAUCAACUCCAAAAACACCAUGGGUGAAAAAAACUGAGAUUAAAUCCUUAUUUGGAUUUGUAAGUGAAACAAUUUACUGAGUCAGGUUUAAUAUUUUUUUUGGAGUUCUGAUGACAAAGACAGUAAAGUUUGUUGACAAUUUAUGAUAUCUGUUGAAAAGUUGCUAAAGUGACCUUGAUCUUUCCAAGGUAGCUUAUCAAGCUAUGUUUAGUUGGAGACAUGGUUCAAAAGAAAUAACCUUGAAACCAAAUUUUGUCUUCUGCUGUGACUUUGACCUUCAAAUUUAAUAGGGAUAUUCUACAUCUCAUAGGACACUAUCUCACAAAGUUCCGAAAAAAUUGAACAAAUGGUUCUAAAGAUAACAUCUGGAAACCAAAACUUUACCUAAAUUUCAGUCUACUGGUAUGAUAAGAAGACUAUUAUAUCUAAAUCUAUUUUACAAGAUAGAAUUGGUUGGCUUCCCUGAGGAUCAAUAACAGGAUUAUAGGAUCUCCAGAAUGACUAGUAAAAAAUGCCAUGACAGUGGUAUUAUUAUUGCUUUGAAACAGUUUCACACCUUCUUUUCUCCUCCUCCUGGUCAAGGUAAGAACUUAAAAAUACAUGUUAUAAAUGUUUCCUUCUCAUCAGAAAAUAUACUAAACUUAAGAGAAAUUAAAAAUAAAAUACAUACAUGGAUUUAACUUUUAAGAAAAUCAGAUCUGACAUUCCUGAUAGCAUAUCUAUAAUUUAAGCUUAAUAUAUAGGUUCUUAGUACUAUAGAUACUAUAAGCUGAAUAUGUAUGUAACAUAUGCUCUUAAUUAACAAAGGAACAUACAUUGGUGUCAAACUGAUAUUGUGUACAGUGAAAUAAUAAUACAUAUUUAUAAAAUGCAUAUGAUGGUUAGCAGCAGCAUAAUUAAUCUAUGAAUUUAAAUGUUUUCGACAUUUUUGUUACGUUUUAUUAACCUUCAAUAAGAUAACUAAAGUGUGAAAUUUAAAUUUAACCAGAAGAGAUACUUGAAUGGAUGGAUAAACAAAGAGACAGAUGUACAUUAGAUGUUUAUCUUUUGAAAUUUCAAAGAUAGCAGGCCUUAUAAAUUAGUAAGAAUAUUUGUUGUGCAAGUUAAUACCAGUAUCUACUCAUUCAUAUACUGAUGCUGUAAUAAGGAGAAAUAGGAUAGGAUUGAAAAGUUAAUGAUAAAAAUUGUGGACUAUAAUAU
rnacentral:lncRNA from 1 species